rnacentral:lncRNA from 1 species
GGGAUUGCAAUGCUCAUGACGCCCGUCGGGGAUCACGGAGUCCAGAGGGCAGCGACUGGCCGCUCCGAGGGCGGAGAGGAGCCGCAGAGCCUCGGCCAACACGUCACGGACAUGGGGAAACCUGGCCGGCCCGUUCCUCGGGCCCCGCGCGGCACUAGGCCCGGCUGAGCGCCACGGCGUUUCCUGGGCGGCCGGCGGCAGCAAGCCCGCGGCGGCAGCGCCAGCCCCUCCCCCUGGCAGCGGUACGACGGCUGCUCCCC